CAGCAGCCGCGGGAAUACGUAGGGUGCGAGCGUUAAUCGGAAUUACUGGGCGUAAAGCGUGCGCAGGCGGUUCGUUAAGACAGAUGUGAAAUCCCCGGGCUUAACCUGGGAACUGCAUUUGUGACUGACGGGCUAGAGUAUGGCAGAGGGGGGUAGAAUUCCACGUGUAGCAGUGAAAUGCGUAGAGAUGUGGAGGAAUACCGAUGGCGAAGGCAGCCCCCUGGGCCAAUACUGACGCUCAUGCACGAAAGCGUGGGGAGCAAACAGGAUUAGAUACCCGCGUAGUCCCUGUCUCUUAUAA
rnacentral:rRNA from 1 species